rnacentral:lncRNA from 1 species
GGAAAGGGGAGGGGCGGCGGAAGUGGAGACGAGGCACAGCUUUCUGGAGGUCUUCAGGAGCUGCUUCGUCAGUCCAGGUCCUUUCGUCCCCUGUCUUCACUCUCCCUCAGACAUGUUGAAACACUGAGCAGAAAGCAUUCCUUACUCAAAGUACUUCACCCGAGCCCUACGCCCCCCCUUCGUCCAUCAGCACGCACGUAAGAACUUGUGUUCUCAUAACAGCACUGAGCUUUGGUGAUUUGGACUGUUGCAUGAGGUGGAGGUGUGAGGAGACAUAGCCAUGUUUUUAUGGAGUUAUUUAGU